CAGCCGCCGCGGGAAUACGAAGGGUGCAAGCGUUAAUCGGAAUUACUGGGCGUAAAGCGUGCGUAGGCGGUUUGUUAAGUCUGCUGUGAAAUCCCCGGGCUCAACCUGGGAAUGGCAGUGGAUACUGGCAAGCUAGAGUGUGUCAGAGGAUGGUGGAAUUCCCGGUGUAGCGGUGAAAUGCGUAGAGAUCGGGAGGAACAUCAGUGGCGAAGGCGGCCAUCUGGGACAACACUGACGCUGAGGCACGAAAGCGUGGGGAGCAAACAGGAUUAGAUACCCCGUAGUCCCUGUCUCUUAUACA
rnacentral:rRNA from 1 species